CACGCCAUCCGGGAAGGCCAAGGUCUUCUCUGUCACUUUCCUCCACCACAAAAGCCUCUUUUGAAUUGCAUAAGCUCAACAUUGGCAUGAGUCAUUCUCUCUGUGUUUCUACAGGAAUAACCCUUCCCUGGGGGCGGUGAAUAUUGGAAAGACUCCACUGCUGUCCAAGUCGUGAGGAAAGAGCAGCAGUGAAAGAAAUUGCAGAAGGAAGGUAAAGAUCAAGCCCGGAAACUCAGCGAAGCCUCGAGGCAAACCCUGGAAGCUGGUGCUGAUAGACGUUUCUCCCUUUACCCAGAGUGGUCAUUGUUGGAGAUGCUGGGAUGAAGCUGAGCUUGAAGUUAUAAAUUCAUUCCCAUCAAGAAGACUUUUCCUCCCCGCAGCAACCUCAUGUGCCCUCCAGGACAGUAUAACUGGCUUCACACUC